GGGUUGUGAGGUUAAGCGACUAAGCGUACACGGUGGAUGCCCUGGCAGUCAGAGGCGAUGAAGGACGUGCUAAUCUGCGAUAAGCGCCGGUAAGGUGAUAUGAACCGUUAUAACCGGCGAUUUCCGAAUGGGGAAACCCAGUGUGAUUCGUCACACUAUCAUUAACUGAAUCCAUAGGUUAAUGAGGCGAACCGGGGGAACUGAAACAUCUAAGUACCCCGAGGAAAA
rnacentral:rRNA from 3 species